rnacentral:tRNA from 1 species
GUAAUGUUAUUAUAACUAGUAGGUGCGCCUUCCAAACGCAAGGAGUCUUUCGACACAUUAUA